rnacentral:misc_RNA from 1 species
GUGAUGUUGACGGAUCUACAUGUUAUGAUUACAUGAACUCUCCAAGUGUGUUGAGUAAUUGUUCAUCAAACAACCUAUACAAGGAAGCAUCAGUUCCAGGAAACCAUAAAUAUAAAUCUGAGACUCUGCAUGAAAGGUUUACUUUUGUGUCAAGUGCAAACUUUACAUGUUCUGAUCAGUCUUUUUCAUCUCUCUCUGCCACUGUUACUCAAGGCAUGCUCCAAUGCACAUGGAACGGUGAGAGCCCCC